rnacentral:rRNA from 1 species
AUUGAACGCUGGCGGCAGGCCUAACACAUGCAAGUCGAGCGGGGUUUUCGGACCUAGCGGCGGACGGGUGGGUAAUGCUUAGGAAUCUGCCUAUUAGUGGGGGACAACAUUCCGAAAGGAAUGCUAAUACCGCAUACGCCCUACGGGGGAAAGCAGGGGAUCUUCGGACCUUGCGCUAAUAGAUGAGCCUAAGUCGGAUUAGCUAGUUGGUGGGGUAAAGGCCUACCAAGGCGACGAUCUGUAGCGGGUCUGAGAGGAUGAUCCGCCACACUGGGACUGAGACACGGCCCAGACGCCUACGGGAGGCAGCAGUGGGGAAUAUUGGACAAUGGGCGGAAGCCUGAUCCAGCCAUGCCGCGUGUGUGAAGAAGGCCUUUUGGUUGUAAAGCACUUUAAGCGAGGAGGAGGCUACUAGUAUUAAUACUACUGGAUAGUGGACGUUACUCGCAGAAUAAGCACCGGCUAACUCUGUGCCAGCCGCCGCGGUAACAC